rnacentral:rRNA from 1 species
CUUGGUCAUUUAGAGGAAGUAAAAGUCGUAACAAGGUUUCCGUAGGUGAACCUGCGGAAGGAUCAUUAGUGAUUGCCAUCUUGGCUUAAACUAUAUCCAUCUACACCUGUGAACCGUUUGAUUGAAUCUUCUGAUUCAAUUUUACAAACAUUGUGUAAUGAACGUCAUUAGAUCAUAACAAAAAAAAACUUUUAACAACGGAUCUCUUGGCUCUCGCAUCGAUGAAGAACGCAGCGAAAUGCGAUAAGUAAUGUGAAUUGCAGAAUUCAGUGAAUCAUCGAAUCUUUGAACGCAACUUGCGCUCUCUGGUAUUCCGGAGAGCAUGCCUGUUUGAGUGUCAUGAAAUCUCAACCAUUAGGGUUUCUUAAUGGCUUGGAUUUGGAGGUUGCCAUUCUAAAUGGCUCCUCUUAAAGGAGUUAGCAAGUUUUACUAUUGCUAUCUGGCGUAAUAAGUUUCGCUGGAAUGGUAUUGUGAAGCGUGCUUCUAAUCGUCUUCGGACAAUUACUUUGACUCUGGCCUCAAAUCAGGUAGGACUACCCGCUGAACUUAAGCAUAUCAAUAAGCGGAGGAAAAGAAACUAACAAGGAUUCCCUUAGUAACGGCGAGUGAACCGGGAAGAGCUCAAAUUUGUAAUCUGGCUGUCUUCGAUAGUCCGAGUUGUAAUCUAUAGAAGCGUUUUCCGUGCUGAACUGUGUAUAAGUCCCUUGGAACAGGGUAUCAAAGAGGGUGACAAUCCCGUACUUUACACAACCAUCAGUGCUCUGUGAUACGUUCUCUACGAGUCGAGUUGUUUGGGAAUGCAGCUCAAAAUGGGUGGUAAAUUCCAUCUAAAGCUAAAUAUUGGCGAGAGACCGAUAGCGAACAAGUACCGUGAGGGAAAGAUGAAAAGCACUUUGGAAAGAGAGUUAAACAGUACGUGAAAUUGUUAAAAGGGAAACGCUUGAAGU